rnacentral:rRNA from 1 species
CACGUAGGGCGCAAGCGUUGUCCGGAAUUAUUGGGCGUAAAGAGCUCGUAGGCGGUCUGUUGCGUCCGCUGUGAAAACUCGGGGCUUAACCCCGAGCCUGCAGUCGAUACGGGCAGGCUAGAGUUCGGUAGGGGAGACUGGAAUUCCUGGUGUAGCGGUGAAAUGCGUCGAUAUCAGGAGGAACACCGGUGGCGAAGGCGGGUCUCUGGGCGAGUAACUGACGCUGAGGAGCGAAAGCGUGGGAGCGAAACAGG